UAGUCCACGCCGUAAACGAUGGUCACUAAUUGUUGGGACGUUUGUUUCAGUGAUUAAGAGAAAUUGAUAAGUGACCCACCUGGGGAGUACGAUCGCAAGAUUGAAACUCAAAGGAAUUGACGGGGGCCCGCACAAGCGGUGGAGCAUGCGGUUUAAUUCGAUGAGACGCGAGGAACCUCACCAGGGCUUAAAUGUAAGUUGCAUGAUUUAGAGAUAGAUCUUUCUUCGGGCUACUUACAAGGUGCUGCAUGGUUGUCGUCAGCUCGUGCCGUGAGGUGUCAGGUUAAGUCCUAUAACGAGCGCAACCCCUACCGUUAGUUGCCAGCAUGUAAAGAUGGGGACUCUAGCGGGACUGCCAGUGCAAACUGUGAGGAAGGUGGGGAUGACGUCAAAUCAUCACGGCCCUUACGUCCUGGGCUACACACGUGCUACAAUGGUACAGACAGAGAGCAGCCACUACGCGAGUAGGAGCGAAUCUUCAAACUGUAU
rnacentral:rRNA from 1 species